UACGUAGGGUGCAAGCGUUAAUCGGAAUUACUGGGCGUAAAGCGUGCGCAGGCGGUUAUGUAAGACAGGUGUGAAAUCCCCCGGGCUUAACCUAGGAACUGCAUUUGUGACUGCAUAGCUAGAGUACGGUAGAGGGGGAUGGAAUUCCGCGUGUAGCAGUGAAAUGCGUAGAUAUGCGGAGGAACACCGAUGGCGAAGGCAAUCCCCUGGACCUGUACUGACGCUCAUGCACGAAAGCGUGGGGAGCAAACAGG
rnacentral:rRNA from 1 species